rnacentral:rRNA from 1 species
GGUGAACGCUGGCGGCGUGCCUAAGACAUGCAAGUCGAGCGGGGCAGGUUUAUACCUGUUCAGCGGCGGACGGGUGAGUAACGCGUGGGUGACCUACCCGGAAGAGGCGGACAACCUGGGGAAACCCAGGCUAAUCCGCCAUGUGGUCCUGUCCUGUGGGGCAGGACUAAAGGGUGGAUAGCCCGCUUCCGGAUGGGCCCGCGUCCCAUCAGCUAGUUGGUGGGGUAAAGGCCCACCAAGGCGACGACGGGUAGCCGGUCUGAGAGGAUGGCCGGCCACAGGGGCACUGGGACACGGGCCCCACUCCUACGGGAGGCAGCAGUGAGGAAUCUUCCGCAAUGGACGGAAGUCUGACGGAGCGACGCCGCUUGGAGGAGGAAGCCCUUCGGGGUGUAAACUCCUGAACUGGGGACGAAAGCCCUGUGUAGGGGGAUGACGGUACCCAGGUAAUAGCGCCGGCCAACUCCGUG